rnacentral:rRNA from 1 species
CAGCCGCCGCGGUAAUACGAAGGGGGCUAGCGUUGUUCGGAUUUACUGGGCGUAAAGCGCACGUAGGCGGACUUUUAAGUCAGGGGUGAAAUCCCGGGGCUCAACCCCGGAACUGCCUUUGAUACUGGGAGUCUUGAGUUCGAGAGAGGUGAGUGGAAUUGCGAGUGUAGAGGUGAAAUUCGUAGAUAUUCGCAGGAACACCAGUGGCGAAGGCGGCUCACUGGCUCGAUACUGACGCUGAGGUGCGAAAGCGUGGGGAGCAAACAGGAUUAGAUACCCCAGUAGUCCCUGUCUCUUAUAC